GAAGGGAUAGCUCAGUGGUAGAGCAUUCGACUGCAGAUCGAGUGGUCCAUAGUUCAAAUCCGGGUGUCCCCUUCU
rnacentral:tRNA from 1 species